rnacentral:rRNA from 1 species
UACGUAGGGACCAAGCGUUGUUCGGAUUUACUGGGCGUAAGGGGCGCGUAGGCGGCAAUUCAAGUCAUCUGUGAAAUCUCCGGGCUUAACCCGGAACGGUCAGAUGAUACUGCUUUGCUAGAGUGCGGAAGGGGCAAUCGGAAUUCUCGGUGUAGCGGUGAAAUGCGUAGAUAUCGAGAGGAACACCAGAGGUGAAGACGGGUUGCUGGGCCGACACUGACGCUGAUAGCGCGAAAGCGUGGGGAGCGAACAGG